ACACGUAGGGGGCGAGCGUUGUUCGGAAUCAUUGGGCGUAAAGGGCGUGCAGGCGGUCCUGCAAGUCCGGCGUGAAAGACCCCGGCCCAACCGGGGGGACGCGCUGGAAACUGCAGGGCUUGAGUACAGGAGGGGAUGCCGGAAUUCCAGGUGUAGGGGUGAAAUCUGUAGAUAUCUGGAAGAACACCAAUGGCGAAGGCAGGCAGCGGGCCAUGUACUGACGAUGAGACGCGAAGGUGCGGGGAGCAAACAGGUUUAGAUACCCUGGUAGUCCGCACAGUAAACGAUGUGCACCAGGUGGCGGGGGGUCGACCCCCGGUACCGUAGCUAACGCAUUAAGUGCACCGCCUGGGGAGUAUGCUCGCAAGGGUGAAACUUAAAGGAAUUGACGGGG
rnacentral:rRNA from 1 species